CUAGUACUCCCUCGGUUCCAAAUUACUUGUCGCAAGUAUGGAUGUAUCUAGAUGUAUUUUAGUUCUAGAUACAUCCAUUUCUGCGACAAGUAAUUUGGGACGGAGGGAGUAAAUG
rnacentral:pre_miRNA from 1 species